rfam:Gossypium raimondii Chr02_contig_48, whole genome shotgun sequence.
UGUUAACUUUUUCAUUCAUUUCCAUUGUUAAAAAUUGGUGUGGCUAAUGAAAUAAUUAGAUAGUACCUCAUGCUGAUGUGCAAAGAUUAGUUUUUAACAAUAAAAGUGGAUGAAAAUUUUAACA